rnacentral:hammerhead_ribozyme from 1 species
AUCCAGCUGACGAGUCCCAAAUAGGACGAAACGCGAGUCAAACUGAAU